AGUGAACAAAAAAAAAAAAAAAAAAUGUGCUCUUUCGCUUAAGCAUAAAUAAUUACGAAAAAUUCGUUCUAAAAAUGGUAAAAAAAUAAAAAUAAAAAUUAACAAUAAAAAAAACCAAAACUGUACUUUUUUUUUUUUUUUUGUUUUACCAUAUAUAUGUUUUAUUUUAUGUUCCUUUUUGUUUUCCCCAUUUCCCUACCUUUUUAUUUAUUAUUUAGGUAUUUAUGUCAUUGUUAUAUUAUUAUUUUAUUUUAUUUUUUUUUUUUUUUUUAUAUAUAAACAGUGUUCACAUUAGUGGUUUUCUUAAGUUCGUAAUAUACAUGAAAAAAAAGCAUAUAUGUGUGAACACACGUUCAAAUGUGUACAUAUAUAUAUAUAUAUAUAUAUAUAAAUAUGUAAAUUUGCGCGUAUGUAGGCGUCUAUGUGUAUAAAACAAACACGCGACGGUGUAUACAAGCGUGACACAGAACGUAAAUAAAUAUUUUUUUUAUUUUUAUUUUAUUUAGUUUUGCAUUAUGUGUGACAAAAAGAUCUUUAUAAAUGUAAAAAAAAAAAAUAUAUAUAUACAAACUAAAAGGAUAUUGUAUAAAUAGUGUAUAAUAUUUAUAUGUAAAAAAAAAAAAUAAAUAAAUAAAAUAAAUAAAUAAAUAAAUAAGAAAACAUGAACACACGGAAACAAUGUGUCUGGUAUUAUACAAUAUGCUUAUUUGUGUAUACGUUCGUAAUAUAUUCAUUAAAUAAAUAUGAAAGACACAAACUACCUGUAGAGCGAUUAACACAUGUAUCUAAUUCAAUUAAACAAUUAAAUAAUGAUAAGUUUGAUAUAUAUAAAGAAAAGGACGAACAUGAUGAAACUUGUUCUAACGCAUUUAUUCGUCUGUAUAUAAUUUCUGGUUGUGAAGGAAACGCAAGCGAUGAGUUAGUUGUAGAAUUAGAAAAAUAUAUUCAAAAUAAAAUUAGGUCCGAUAAUGGGCGUAAUGAUAGUAAUAGUAAUAACAAAAAUAAACAAAGUGACAAUAUUUUGGAAAUUAAAAAUAUGUUUAAUAUUAAAUUAAAUGUAAUUAAUAGUAACGUAAUUAAAGAAAACCAAAACAAAGGGGAUAGGUUUUAUAAUAUAUGUAAAAAACGAUUACUAAAAAAUAACAUAGAUAUAUAUUUAAAUAAUAUAUAUUAUGUUUAUAUCAAUGAGGUCAUGAAAAAUGAGGAAAAUAAAUUAUCAUUUAUUUUAUCAUCACAAAAUAUACUGGAAUUUUUUUAUAACAAAAUAGAGCAUAACAAUAAUAACAAUAAUAAUGAAGACUCUUUGUAUGAAUUGUUCAUACACGAAAUUUGGGAUGUAAUCAAUAAUGCUUUUUUUUUUCAAACAAAUAACAGAUUGUUAUCUUUUAUUCCUGAGCUAGAUUUAAAUUUUUAUUUAGCUACUAGUCUUUACAAUGUAAACAAUUAUAAAAAAAAAAAUAAAAAAUUAACUAUGAUAGGUGAGUCAGAAGCAGAUAAAAAAAAAGAAGAACAAGUCGUUACUAAUGCAAGUGAAGUGUAUGACUCAACAACUGGGGAGCGAAGAGAAAAGUCAAACGUGUCUGACAAAACAGGCGAAAGAAGCGAAAGCAGCAAAACAGACAAAUAUAAAAAAAAUGAAGAUAGCAAAACUCCUACAACAAUCGAAAAAAAAAGUGAAGCCCACCCAAAUAAUAGUUCCGUUUGUAUAGCUAUUUGGGAUUUUUACAAUGAUUUUUAUUAUCCUUAUAUGAGAAAUUUUAUCGAAAAAUUAUUAAAUAUUUUUCAAAUUAAUGUUUAUUCAGAAAUUGUAGGUAAUAUAAAUUUGUUUAAAAUAUCAGAGGAAGAGCAUGUAUAUGUGAAAGAAGGUGAGAUGGUUCAUGAUAAAUUAAAUGACGACAUAAAAGUCCAAAGUAGUAAAAGAUUAAUAUUACUUGAUAAAAUAACAAAAUUCACAAACACCUUUGAUGAUGUAAUUUUUGAUAAUAUGUUAAAAAAGCCAACAUAUGCUAUUCCCAAAAAUAUUAAUCUUAUAACUAUAUUUCCUACAGUGUCUCCCAUUUUUUUUUUUGAUAACAUGAAUAAAAAUAUAGAAACGGCUGUUUCAUUUGUUGAUUGGGGUGUGAUAUAUAUAAACAAUUUGUUUACAGAAUUAGAUAGUAAAAAAGAGAAAGAAAAAAAAAAAAAAAAAAAAAAUUUGAUAAAUGUAUCCGAUCAAGCACAAAUAAUUAGUGGAGUUUUUAUUUCACAUUUACGAUCUUUUUUAGGUCUUUGUGCAAAUUUUUCAGAUUGUAUUUAUAAAAUAUUUAAUACAGAUAUAUAUAAAAUAAAAUAUGUAAGUAGUCUAUCAACAGAUACAGAUAACACGAUUUCUUAUUUAAUUACACCUAUCAAUAAUAAUAGAAAAAAUAAUAUAUCGUUUUCAUUUGUUUAUGAUGUACCUAUACAAAAUGGAAUAGCAGCUUUUGAGGUUUUAGUACUAAUGAGAGAGGCUUAUAUUUAUUAUAUAACACAAACAAUAAUUAAUUUAAAUAAAUUUGUAAAAAUAUCAAAUAUAAGCAUAUUUAUAAGAAUACCAGCACAUUGUGUUCAUGUGAUUAAUAACAUUCUGAACAAUGUAGAAUGUAGCUUAAAUUAUAUGAAAGGUCAAACAUGCAAAAUACGGGAUGUAAAUAAUGUUAUUAAUAAAUUAUUUGAUUUAGAAAAAAAAGCUAAAGAAAACUUAGACACCGAUAGCUAUGAUUGUGAUCAUGCUGCCCCUACAUGUGCAAUGAAUUUUAAAAUAGCUAUAAGUUUAGCCCAGUCCGCUUAUCAG
ensembl:lncRNA